GACAGGAGGUGCCGAGCGUUAGGCGGAAUCACUGGGCUUAAAGCGUGUGUAGGGUGGAUGUCUAAGUACCUUGUGAAAUCCCUCGGCUCAACCGGGGAACUGCGUCUGAUACUGGAUGGCUUGAAUUCGGGAGAGGGAUGCGGGAAUUCCAGUGUAGCGGUGAAAUGCGUAGAUAUCAAGGAAGAACACCAAUGGCGAAGGCAGCUCUC
rnacentral:rRNA from 1 species